rnacentral:rRNA from 1 species
AGCGAACGCUGGCGGCAGGCCUAACACAUGCAAGUCGAACGAACCUUUCGGGGUUAGUGGCGGACGGGUGAGUAACACGUGGGAACGUGCCCUUAGGUUCGGAAUAACUCAGGGAAACUUGUGCUAAUACCGAAUGUGCCCUUCGGGGGGAAGAUUUAUCGCCUUUAGAGCGGCCCGCGUCUGAUUAGCUAGUUGGUUGAGGUAAUGGCUCACCAAGGCGACGAUCAGUAGCUGGUCUGAGAGGAUGAUCAGCCACAUUGGGACUGAGACACGGCCCAAACUCCUACGGGAGGCAGCAGUGGGGAAUCUUGCGCAAUGGGCGAAAGCCUGACGCAGCCAUGCCGCGUGAAUGAUGAAGGUCUUAGGAUUGUAAAAUUCUUUCACCGGGGACGAUAAUGACGGUACCCGGAGAAGAAGCCCCGGCUAACUUCGUG